AUUCAAAACUCUUAGCAUCAAACGUGAUUUCAGGUAGGGGUGGCAAAAUGGGUUUGGCUCGUUGGGCCAGCCCGUUUUGCCCACCUUUUUUGGCGGGUUGGGUUGGGAUUUUGAAU
rnacentral:pre_miRNA from 1 species